rnacentral:rRNA from 1 species
AUUGAACGCUGGCGGCAGGCCUAACACAUGCAAGUCGAGCGGAUGACGGGAGCUUGCUCCUUGAUUCAGCGGCGGACGGGUGAGUAAUGCCUAGGAAUCUGCCUGGUAGUGGGGGACAACGUUUCGAAAGGAACGCUAAUACCGCAUACGUCCUACGGGAGAAAGCAGGGGACCUUCGGGCCUUGCGCUAUCAGAUGACCCUAGGUCGGAUUAGCUAGUUGGUGAGGUAAUGGCUCACCAAGGCGACGAUCCGUAACUGGUCUGAGAGGAUGAUCAGUCACACUGGAACUGAGACACGGUCCAGACUCCUACGGGAGGCAGCAGUGGGGAAUAUUGGACAAUGGGCGAAAGCCUGAUCCAGCCAUGCCGCGUGUGUGAAGAAGGUCUUCGGAUUGUAAAGCACUUUAAGUUGGGAGGAAGGGCAGUAAGUUAAUACCUUGCUGUUUUGACGUUACCGACAGAAUAAGCACCGGCUAACUCUGUGCCAGCCGCCGCAGUAAGAC